rnacentral:rRNA from 1 species
CCUACGGGGUGCAGCAGUGGGGAAUAUUGCACAAUGGGCGCAAGCCUGAUGCAGCCAUGCCGCGUGUAUGAAGAAGGCCUUCGGGUUGUAAAGUACUUUCAGCGGGGAGGAAGGUGUUAUGGUUAAUAACCACAGCAAUUGACGUUACCCGCAGAAGAAGCACCGGCUAACUCCGUGCCAGCAGCCGCGGUAAUACGGAGGGUGCAAGCGCUAAUCGGAAUUACUGGGCGUAAAGCGCACGCAGGCGGUCUGUCAAGUCGGAUGUGAAAUCCCCGGGCUCAACCUGGGAACUGCAUUCGAAACUGGCAGGCUAGAGUCUUGUAGAGGGGGGUAGAAUUCCAGGUGUAGCGGUGAAAUGCGUAGAGAUCUGGAGGAAUACCGGUGGCGAAGGCGGCCCCCUGGACAAAGACUGACGCUCAGGUGCGAAAGCGUGGGGAGCAAACUGGAUUAGAUACCCGUGUAGUC